rnacentral:rRNA from 1 species
CCUACGGGAGGCAGCAGUGGGGGAUAUUGCACAAUGGGGGCAACCCUGAUGCAGCGACGCCGCGUGAGCGAUGGAGUACUUCGGUACGUAAAGCUCUGUCAGCAGGGAAGAGAAUGACGGUACCUGACCAAGCAUCCCCGGCUAAAUACGUGCCAGCAGCCGCGGUCAUACGUAUGGGGGAAGCGUUAUCUGGAUUUACUGGGUGUAAAGGUAGCGUAGGGGGCAGGGCAAGCCUGAUGUGAAAGCCCGGGGCUCAAGCCCGGGACUGCAUUGGGAACUGGCCCGCUGGAGUGCCGGAGGGGCAGGCGGAAUUCCUAGGGUAGCGGUGAAAUGGGGAGAUAUUAGGAGGAA